CAACAACGGAUCUCUUGGUUCUGGCAUCGAUGAAGAACGCAGCGAAAUGCGAUAAGUAAUGUGAAUUGCAGAAUUCAGUGAAUCAUCGAAUCUUUGAACGCACAUUGCGCCCCUUGGCAUUCCGAGGGGCAUACCUGUUCGAGCGUCAU
rnacentral:rRNA from 2 species